ensembl:lncRNA
AGCGGAGGGCAACCCCCGAAUCUUUAAACCUCCGCGCCAGAACGCGCUAGGUACCCGGGACAGGAUGGGGGCGGAAAGGCCUCCCACGCCCCAACGGCGGGCUAGGACCGCACAGCGGAGAGGAGCGUGGGAGUUUUCGCCCCAGCCCCUCGGGGCGGUCGGGACGAGCGACCAAGGCACACCCGGCCGGUCACGCCAACCCCAAUUCCCCAUCUCGGAGGGAAGACGCUCACUCGAGCGAGCGGGACCGACCCCGGCGCCUGACCGCCGGGGCCCUCGCUGGCCCACACGUCGAGGGGACCCCUCUCGAGCCGCCGGGGCAGGGGCCUCGGCACCGCCGACCCCGCCCCACCGGUGGGGACGAGGCGGUUCGGCCGCGUCGGCGAGCACGGACCCGGAGAACCUAAAAGACACCCGACCGCGGGCUGAGGCGGAGCGGAGGAAGGGGGCAAAGGGGAGGAGAGGCACCGCCGCCUUAAGCUCCCGCCCCGCCGCUCCGGCCGAGGGAAUCACCGACCCUUUCCUCCCCCAUGGGAAGCCGGGACCCUGACGACCGAAGGCGGGGAACCGGGCACCCGGGGCCCCAACCGCCCACACGGAGAGGGUGGGGCCCGGCGACGACGCCGGGUCUCUUCCCCUUUUCGCCACCUCCCCCCGAAGCCCGCACAUGCAGCGGCGGGGGCACGACCGCGCCGGGGCGGCGGGAUCGUGGUCAAGCACUUCGAGCAGCAUUCCUCUCUCGCUCGAAAACCCCCCGCCGCGGGGGGACUCGGCAUGCGCACGGGCCGCCGACGGCGUCCGGGACGCCGCCGGGGUACCGGCGGGGCCGGGCGGCGCCGGAGGGAACCCACCGAACGCCGCCCGGUCGGCCGCAGCCGCCACGACGCCUCGAGCCCGGGACCGGGGAACGACACCGCCCUGGGCCGCGGCACGAGGCACGCGACCCGGCGGCGCCGCCCUCGGCGCCCGAGACCCAGGGGCGCGCGCAAACACUGGACCGAAACCGACGCCCCGCUGGAGUCUCUUCCGGAGAGGGGCUAAGGCAGGGUUGCAGGGGGGCCGGCUGCCGCUCGCCGAGCCCCUCCCAAGCCGCGGCUCUCCCUCGCUCGCGUUAGAGCCUGGUUUCCCUCCGGGCGGCUCCCGCACCCUCACGUGGCCGAAGCCAACCCCCCGACGCGGGAGGCGGCGCGGGCGGACGAGCCGCAAUCGGGCGCAGGGCAGGGGGAAGCGGAGGCGCGCGAGGUGGCGGGGGAAGGAGACCCUCCCCCUCCGCCUCGACACACCGCAACGACCACCCCCCGACCCCCGCUCGUCAAGGAACCGGCCGCGGGUGUCGCGGGCGCACACACACGCCGCCGCGACUCUCCCGCGGCCGUCGCGGAAAACCGCCCGGCGGGCCCCCCCCCCCACGGGAGGGAAACUCCACCGGACGCGGCCUGACGACGGGACGGGCCCCGCUGCGUCUGAGAGCACGGCGGGCUCUCUCUCGGUAAUGAUCCUUCCGCAGGUUCACCUACGGAAACCUUGUUACGACUUUUACUUCCUCUAG